rnacentral:lncRNA from 1 species
UUCAUGACUAAAUGAUACGUCAUUAAAGAAUGAUGAGAUUUAUCGAGUGAAGAUUGUUGUGUGCCAUAUAGAUUGGUUAUCCUUUUAAUCAAGAAAUAUGAAGAUAUUGGUAUCGCAUACAGAUGAGAUGUAGGAGUAUAUCAUCACUGAACAAGUGACUCACUGGUUGAGCACUCAGCUGUCAAGAGUAACUUGUGAAGUAUAUGAGUAUAAGUAUCUCACAAAUCUG